GUCUAUGGCCGCACCACCGUGAACGCGUUCAAUCUCAUCUGAUCUCAGAAGCUAAGCAGGAUCGGGCCUGGUUAGUACUUGGAUGGGAAAUAAUCAGAAGGAUCAAAAGAUGAAUGGAAAGGAGGCCACUUCCC
ensembl:rRNA 5S_rRNA 5S ribosomal RNA